AGAAGCAGCAGCAAUUUUGUGGGAUUACUGAGCAAAUAACUUGUUGUACAGCUGAUUCCUGGGAAGACAAAGGGCUAAAAGCACUGAAAGGUUUCUAUACGGUAGGUAAUGAGUCAAGGGAUCUUCUAUAGUCAUUCUUGGUUCCACACGAAAUUUCCCUCCCCUAGACCGUUUUGCCAUGCAAAGCGUUUGGUGGCUCUUUCCUGUGUACCCCCACCCCCACCCUGCCCCAGCCCACACAUCUACCACUGCCGUUACUACUCCUUGCAUUAUUGCUGCUACUCUCUCGCACACACCUUUCCCAGAAAGAGAGGAAGAGUCGCAGCGCUGAAGACAGGACUUGCCCGAGUCUCAGAAUAUUCUAAACAAUGAGGCCAAUCACUUCAAUUUGCAGAAGCAUGGAUGUUGCGUGGAGGGUUAUUGAAAACCUGCUGUUCUUUUCAGCACCACCUGCAUUUGGUCUUUAGAACAGAGCUCCAGUACUUCCUAUCCUGCUGCUAAGUCACUUCAGUCAUGUCCAACUCUGUGCAACCCCAUGGACGGCAGCCCACCAGGCUCCCCUGUCCCUGGGAUUCUCCAGGCAAGAACACUGGAGUGGGUUGCCAUUGCCUUCUCCAAUGCAUGAAAGUGAAAAGUGAAAGUGAAGUCGCUCAGUCAUGCUCGACCCUCAGCGACCCCAUGGACUGCAGCCUUCCAGGCUCCUCCAUCCAUGGGAUUUUCCAGGCAAGAGUACUGGAGUGGAGUGCCAUUGCCUUCUCUGGUACUUCCUAUGAGUUCUGGCAAAUGAAUUCAAUAUAUACCUUUCCCCAGGGUGAGAGGCUCACAAAGCAGAAGGAAUGUCAUUUUUCAGUCAACAGAAAUAGAGGUAAGUCAAUCUGGUGCCUACAUGCUCUGUGA
rnacentral:lncRNA from 1 species